UGAACGCUAGCGGGAUGCCUUACACAUGCAAGUCGAACGGCAGCACGGACUUCGGUCUGGUGGCGAGUGGCGAACGGGUGAGUAAUGUAUCGGAACGUGCCUAGUAGCGGGGGAUAACUACGCGAAAGCGUAGCUAAUACCGCAUACGCCCUACGGGGGAAAGCAGGGGAUCGCAAGACCUUGCACUAUUAGAGCGGCCGAUAUCGGAUUAGCUAGUUGGUGGGGUAAUGGCUCACCAAGGCGACGAUCCGUAGCUGGUUUGAGAGGACGACCAGCCACACUGGGACUGAGACACGGCCCAGACUCCUACGGGAGGCAGCAGUGGGGAAUUUUGGACAAUGGGGGAAACCCUGAUCCAGCCAUCCCGCGUGUGCGAUGAAGGCCUUCGGGUUGUAAAGCACUUUUGGCAGGAAAGAAACGUCAUGGGCUAAUACCCCGUGAAAC
rnacentral:rRNA from 1 species